GAGGGGACGGUUCAGCGGUAGAGCGUGUGCUUAGCAUGCAUGAAGUCCAGGGUUCAAUCCCCAGUACCUCCA
rnacentral:tRNA from 1 species